UGGGCCGGCUGGGCGGGCCCCGGUGAGCCCUGCACGUCGGGCCUGGCGCUGGGUAGCAGCCGUCGGCUUAGCGCGCCUUUGUCUGCCCCGCCGCGCGUGAAGAUCCCAAGCGUACCGCCAGGCCGAACCUUGGAGCGGAACAAAAGCCCGAAGCGAAGCGGCGAAGCGACCCCAAGCUUGCUAAGUCGCUUGCCCCGAGCGGCGGGGACCGGCCCGCAGGGGUGGGAAGCAGCGGGUGUUUCUCGUCCGCGCGGGUUCAGCUAAGGCGCCGAGGGACGACGGCGACCGUGGGAGGGGGACAAUCCCCGAUUCUCUUCACCGUGCAGUGACGGCGGACUUGGUUAGGUUGCAAACAGCGGUGCGGAAUCGUUUGCCUACUUUGAGCUUUGGCGCAGAUCCCGGUGUUCCUGGGGCCAGCAGGCGUCCUGGUGCUUUAUACUCACUCCCAGGAAUCCGCAGAGCUCUGACAGUUGGCCCUCGUACCCUCGAGAGGUCUCGGGACUUGCACAAAGACUUGGAACCGACUGACUUUGUGGUCUGGGCUCCACAUCAGGAAACGGACAGACUUGGGCCCGGUUGGUAUUGCAAUUGUCUGUGA
rnacentral:lncRNA from 1 species